rnacentral:lncRNA from 1 species
GGUGCUUAGUUGUAAUAUACUGUGGCAGAAAUUCUGUAAGUGAUGCAAAACGCGAAAGCCCUAAUAGUUAAAGGAUUUAUGGGCAUUAACCCCUUAAUUUUUUUGUAUCAUGACUCGUGAAUGUUCACAUGUCCGAAUUCUUCGUUGUUGCUUCCUUUUUUCUUUUUUCUUUUUUUCCCUUUUUUUAGUGGAUCGGAGCUAUUUUGUCAUCAAGAAUUUUUUUGGGUUUUUGUUUUUAUUUUUUUGUGUGGAGCUGUUGUUUUCAAGAAUUGUUGGUUUGAUGUUCCUAGCUAACAUGUCGUUAACAUUGAGGAUGCAUAGUCCAUAUCAGCAAAAAAAAAUCAUAAUGCUUUUUUCUUAUACCUUAAUAAUUAUGACUGCAUUGUUAAAUCUACGAAUCACGCAAAAACCAAAUUCUUAUUUAUUCUUUUAUCAUUUAACUUUAAAGAAAUGAAUAAAUUUAAUAAAUAAGACUUUGAUAUAUUAUAUAUAGGAGAAAAGAACUACUCUCUCCAUCCCACGAAUCUUGACACGUUUUCUGUGACACCCAAAUCCAAUUUAACUUUACAUGGAAACGCACGCGGAAAAACUAUGAAUAUAAAUAAAUAUUUAAUGAGAAAAUCAGGAAAUAAAUUUUUAUUUAAA